CUACGGGGGGCACCAGUGAGGAAUAUUGCACAAUGGGGGGAACCCUGAUGCAGCAACGCCGCGUGGAGGAUGACGCAUUUCGGUGUGUAAACUCCUUUUAUAUGUCAAGAAAAUGACGGUAGCAUAUGAAUAAGCACCGGCUAACUUCGUGCCAGCAGCCGCGGUAAUACGGAGGGUGCAAGCGUUACUCGGAAUCACUGGGCGUAAAGGACGCGUGGGCGGGUUGGAAAGUCAGGUGUGAAAUCCUACAGCUUAACUGUAGAACUGCACUUGAAACUUCUAAUCUAGAGUAUGGGAGGGGGAGAUGGAAUUAGUGGUGUAGGGGUAAAAUCCGUAGAUAUCACUAGGAAUACCUAAAGCGAAGGCGAUCUCCUGGAACAUUACUGACGCUAAGGCGUGAAAGCGUGGGGAGCAAACGGGAUUAGAUACCCCAGUAGUC
rnacentral:rRNA from 1 species